rnacentral:rRNA from 1 species
AUUGAACGCUGGCGGCAUGCCUUACACAUGCAAGUCGAACGGCAGCACGGGAGCAAUCCUGGUGGCGAGUGGCGAACGGGUGAGUAAUGCAUCGGAACGUGCCAUUGAGUGGGGGAUAACGUAGCGAAAGUUACGCUAAUACCGCAUAUUCUGUGCGCAGGAAAGCAGGGGAUCGCAAGGCCUCACGCUCACGGAGCGGCCGAUGUCGGAUUAGCUAGUUGGUGGGGUAAAGGCUUACCAAGGCGACGAUCCGUAGCUGGUCUGAGAGGAUGAUCAGCCACACUGGGACUGAGACACGGCCCAGACUCCUACGGGAGGCAGCAGUGGGGAAUUUUGGACAAUGGGGGCAACCCUGAUCCAGCCAUGCCGCGUG